GCAAUGGUGGUUCAGUGGCAGAAUUCUCGCUUUUCAUGUGAGAGACCCAGGUUUGAUUCCUAGCCAAUGCA
rfam:Loxodonta africana unplaced genomic scaffold scaffold_44, whole genome shotgun sequence.